CGAACUUUUUCGGUGUCGCAAACA
rnacentral:siRNA from 1 species